AGAUCCCCCUCACCCCGCGCCGCCACAUGAUCUCCCCGGGGCCCCCGCCUCAGCGCAAGCUUCCCUGCCCCCUUGCCGCCGCGCGACCUCCGUCGCCAUGGCCGGCCACCUUCUCCCGCCGCUCCGGCCACACGCCACCUUCUCGCACCGCCACGGCCACCCGCAGGCGCAACCAUCUUCUUCCCAGAUCACGGCGCGCCGCCGCCCCAUCCCACCAUCCCCGCGCGACUCCGCCGCCCCACCCCGCCAUCCAUGCGCGCCGCUGCUGCCCCACCCCGCAAUCCCCGAGCGACGCAGCCACCCCACCCCGCAAUCCCCGAGCGACGUCGCCGCCCCACCCAGCGACUCCGGUGGAUCUCCGGGGAGGCGACCUUCUCGCUACAGCUGACUUACCUCCCCAAAAAAGGUUUCUCCCUCAAGCGGCGUUCUUGUCGCGUCCACCGGAGUUGAGCUGAAGCGUCUCGGUGGACGAGAAGCAUGAUGUUGCAGCCACCGGCCUCCUACCACAGCAAGCGACCGCCGCAGCCAUCCUUGACCUUCCGCUAUAGCCUUCCUACCCGACCGCCUCCACAACACGCUGGCCUUCGUCUACCUCUAGCUCCGCUGCUACCCAAGGCCGUGUGCGCGAUGGCGGCCCAUGUCGUUUAUCGUCCUGGUUGCGUACACGCUGACGAGUGAUGCCCCGAUCCAUCUCCUCCAUCCUCCAGCCACGGCAAGUCCAAAAGAAAUGCAUUCAGUCUAGCAAGCCAAAUGGUUGACCACCAGCCCAUGCGUGGAUUGGCCCCGACCUGCAGCUGGAGGAGGCCGCGACCUUCAGCUGUAGGAGACGUCGACCUACAACUGGAGGAGGCCCCGACCUUCAGCUGACAAUUUUGAGGAACUAGCUACUCGAAAAAUCUAACUUGACACCGUACUUGUUUUUGUUCUUCAGAAGUUCAGGCAACUAGGUUGCUCACUAGGAAAAGCCUGAACCACCAUGAACAAAAGCAAUUUCGUGGCUGAGGCCCAGAAAAUGCAAAGCUUCGCAUCUUCAUUGUAGAGAGCUUUGCUUACUUGCUUGCUUGCUUCAUGCCUACAACAUGCAUGCACUUUCUGUGUAACCAAAGAAGUCAGAGACCUCGGAGGAGGCAUGUGGACUGUAAGGCAAAACAGGCAUAUAGACUCAAGGACUUGUACAUCGGUGAAAUAUGAAGCAUUUUUCAGGCUUCAAGUUUGAGAAGAAGAUGGCAUCAAUGAGGAAUGGAGCCGAGGGUGGUUCACAGUUGCGAACAUCGCCGUCUCAACGCUUUUUGGAGCGCCCCUUGAGGAAUCUGUUGACGAUUUGGCCGGCAGCAGCAACAUUUCUUGGCAUGUGGGUGCUGGUUUUGGCGGGCAAGCAAGCAGCAACGAGCAGCUGCAGGCAAAAGCUACUAACAGGUGAAAAAAUAAUUCUAGAUCAACAAUGUUUUACAUCGCGACCUCACUUGUUCAUAAUUUGAUGGUAGGAUGUUAGAUUUAGUCGACGGUUACUAUUGAAUGGACUCUUAAUUUGUAUGGUCAAUGCUAUGAAUUAUUGAAGCGGAUGGACAGGUUUGUAGAAUACUCAACCAGAUGUGUUAGUCUUCACACAGCAGCAGAGGUCGUUUUCAAACAGCAGCACCAAUGUGUUGCUUGGCUCCUGACUCCCUUCGCCAUGCCACUCACCUCGCGUCGCUGGACCACCGCGGUCGCUGGCAGAAUCCUUUUGUUUAGUAUCCAGCGCAAGCAAUCUGAAUCCGCACGCGCAAGCCUUGUGUUGCCGAGUCAGCCCUCCUUCUGCUGACUGCUUCUGCAGUAGCAAGUCGCGCCACCUGCACCUGUUAUCGCCACAAGACGUUCUACUACACCUAUAUGUUCUACUACGACUAAACGCCGGUGGUGGUGAAGUUCUACUACGGAUAUACGCCAAGUUCUACUACAGUUGUAUGUCAGCGACCAUGAAAAUUCUACUACAGAUGUACGCCAAGUUAUACUACAGUUAUACACCGGCCGUCACAGUGGUUCACAUAACUCCUGUGUGGUUACUGGACAUGUGUGUGCGUGUGUGUGCGCUUGUAGGAUUGCUGGACGUGUGUUGGCCUAAGCAAUAGGUUUGCUCUCAACACCAUAUC